rnacentral:lncRNA from 1 species
CCACUGACUCUGUGCCAAGGCACUCACUACUGCCCUGGGAGCUGUGGGUCCAACCAACACACCAAAUGCUGCUGGCCUGAUGUGUUUCCCGAGUCUGCCUUCUGCCAUGGGAUCCCUGCACAGGAACAGGUGCUGCGAGCCUGAAACCUUAUAUUCCUGACUCUCUCGUGAGCUGGAUCUGGACACCUUUCCAUCUGGACACCAAGUGGAGAAAGCCGUGACUGUAUCCUGCAAGCGCCCCUAUCUGCUGCUGCGAUCUCCCUUUGUUUGGCUGCCAGCUCUCCGCACCUGCGUGCAUGCCGGCUCUCCCUCCCCGCUGCGGGUUGCUGGGACAGGAUAAUUUGGAGGCAAUGACCUGCCUUGCCCUUUUCCAAGAUUGCGCUCCAGAUUACCACCAGACUCUACAUCAGCAUCACCAAGUCCCUUUAAGUGAUGGCAAGAAGCAGAUGAGGCUCCUGGCCAGCAUGGGCUCCAAGUAUUCACCACAGCCACUCAGGGAAAGGAAACAAGCUGGAUGGACCCACUUGGGCAUUCCCUGUCCAGGAGGAACCAUGACAGACAGACCACCAGCCCAGAGAAGCCUCUAGAGACCUUGCUUGAAUGGAAGGAGGAGGUGCUCUGCUACCGUUUCAUCUCUUAAAGAGAAGCAGGGACUGAGUCAUUAAAAUCUUAUCUAUGUCAUCCUCAUUUGCUUGAACUUUUGUAGCUUCUUCUCCUACCCAAAGAGAAGAGCGAGGACUGGAGCAGCUGUGGGAGUCCCUGGCCACAGCAUACAAAGCCCACUUGUUAUCAGCACUGUCAUAUGCCUCUCUGCUCCCUCCCCCUUCCCAGCUCCACCACAACCGCUGCAUCCCAACAGCACAAGCCGGGCAUCCAUCAAAAGGGCUAUUAUCCCACGAUUUCUUAACAGCCACUGUUGCUCUUGGAUAUGGAGAACCAAGCUCCCCCUUUGACACAGUGCCCCGAGCUAAGGAAUAGUGGUGCCUGUCGCUGGCUGGCAUUCUGAUCUGCAGAUUGUCAUGGAAGCCAGGGUGGGAUGGGGAGCUGCUGCCUGUACACGGGGUUGGGUUAGCAAUUUAGGCCUUCCCUCCAGCCCUGCAAGGUAGACAGGUCCUACAGAGUUCAUGCUUUUGGCCUCCAGAUGUUAGCAGUGAGGGUAACUCCCAUGGAGGGUGGCUAAGAGACCACAUCCUUCAUUCUUUACGGCUCAUGCUUUUAAUCUGCUCUUCCUGGACUGGGGGAGAAAAAGGGCACAGAAACAGUCACCAACCUCUGGAGUAGGCAAAGGGUCUGUGGUGCAUGGAGAGGCAGCUUCCAGAGAUGCGCACAUUGACUCAGGCAACCUCUGACUGGCUCCGGGCACUGACAUCCCCAGAGCCUGCUGGAGGGGGCCCCUUCGCCCUUUUGCCCCACAGGCAGUAGGUGCUGGCACUGCUUGCCCCUGCCUCCAUCACAGGUGCCUUCUUCUUGCUGCAUAUGAACAGGCAAAUUGGUGACAGCACAGACAGUGCCAGCUCUUCCACACACACAAGAUCUACCAGCUGUGACACCACGGGCGAGGCUGGAGUCCUGGCAGGGAUGGGCAGA